rnacentral:lncRNA from 1 species
AGGAGGGCAGAACUGAGAAAGUAGAAAGUGACACCUUACCCACCGCACAUUUAUUACGCAACGACGCCGCAUCAGUGCCCCGCGGAUUCUGAAGCAAAUACCUUGUUUGGACAUUUUCAACCUCCGAACCUUCCUCCACACGAAUCUUAUUUAAUAUUUAUACUGUAUAAUGUUUGAUAAAUAAGAUUGAAAACAUAAUAU